CCUGUUAAAAUCAUGUUUCCCAGCUAGAAGCUUUGUAUUCAUUCCAUCCUUGUUGGUAAAAAAUAAAUAAAUAAAUAAAUAAAUAAAUAAAAUCUGUUUUUGCUAUUCUGGCGCCUUCUUGUGGCCUGUUACAUUAUCACAAGAACUUCAAAGUACAGCAAUUUCUAUAUUUUUUCAAUAACUUUUUUUUUCUUUUAAACUCACCCUCACAGCUUUACUAUGUGAAAAGUUAGACAUAGUGUAAUUAUAGCAAAUUGGAGAGUUUUCUAGAAGGUGGAAAUGUAACAAUGAGAUUAUAUACAAAGUGUAUCAAAUCAACAGAUGUGAAGAGCAGUA